rnacentral:lncRNA from 1 species
GGCAAGAGAAAGAUGUCCUAACCUGUGGAGAGAGGCGGGCUUCAGAAUCAGAGCUCAGAUCUACGUCACUAAGUCUUUUUAUGCUUCAGUUAUCCCUUUUGUGGAGUAGGAAUAAUGUCUUCCCUGUAUAUCUCACUAGGUCUACAGAAAACCAAUAAGAUAAUGAAUAUGAUGGUGAUUUGUGUAGAGCCAAAUUUUAAAAUGUGUAUAACAUUACCAUUCUUUAAUAAAAACCAUAGGAACAAUAUUGUUGGACAGCGUGUAUGGAAAUAUUAAAUGGUAACACAUGGGUAGUUUGUGUCGAAAGCUUCCUGUGCUUGCUAUGUCCAGCCUUGGAAUAAAAAGCCAGUUGGGUUAAUACUUCGUGUCUGUUAUGUUGAAGCUACAGUGAUGGAUACAGCAAGUGAUAGAACUGCAAGUAAGAGAGCUGUUUUCCAGGAGGCUCAAGGGCUCACAUUUGGAAGCACCUUUGACUGUUUCUCCACCUAACUUACAAAGGAUGGCCACCUCAACUUAUAGUUCCCCAGGUGGACUUCCUCUGUUGACUCAGAUUUUUCUUCCCUGUUUGGAUUUUGAAGAGUACAAUAGAAAUCAAGUCCCUCGUAGGUCAUGAUGAUCCAGCUUUUGCCAUUGAUAAUACUCCACAAAUUUCUUCUCUUGGCUUUUAUUCACAUUCUUGAGAGAAGGAAUCUGAUUGGCUGAACACAUGUUCUGACCAUGACGUCAGAAGCUGUGGGUGAGCCUUGGGCUGUACUGUCUCUUCUGGUCCACCCAUCAAGAAUGGCAAGAAUAUAGUUUCUCUAGCAUGAGAAACUGAAAGUGUAAAUAAGGAUGAAAAUGAUUAAAAUGAAUAAUUGAUAAUUUGAAAUAGGAAAAGGUCCAAGG